rnacentral:rRNA from 1 species
UUAAUUGAAGAGUUUGAUCAUGGCUCAGAUUGAACGCUGGCGGCAGGCCUAACACAUGCAAGUCGAACGGUAACAGAGAGCAGCUUGCUGCUCUGCUGACGAGUGGCGGACGGGGGAGUAAUGUCCGGGAAACUGUCUGAUGGCGGGGGAUAACUACUGGAAACGGUAGCUAAUACCGCAUAACGUCUACGGACCAAAGUGGGGAACCGUCGGUCCUCAGUCCUUCAGAUGUGCCCAGAUGGGAUUAGCUAGCAGGGGGGGUAACGGCUCACCUAGGCGACG